GUGCCAGACAAGAGACAAUACCACCACAAGACAUAUAUCCAGACAGCGCAGAAUACAAUAGGACAAACUAUACAAACCACAAUAUACAUUAUACACAGUAUCCCAAUGCCGUUUCAUCUGACACACGCGGUUUGCCACGGUUACGUGUCUGGCCCGAAGUUAACUUUCGAUCUUGUUUAUCAGUCUGAAUAGUGACUAAACUGGCCUCUGACACCUUGUUAGGGAAAUUUAGGGAUUUAAGGAUACGUAGAUAAUAUUUUGUACAUGUUUAAACAGUACCGGAAGUUAACAAAAGCUAUAUGUUUAUGUUGGUGCCUAUACGUUAUACACAGUAACAUUAUACAUAGCAGACAUACACAGAAGAUAUACACAUAAUAUACACACGAAAUACACAGAGAACCCACAUUAAGUAUUUCCAAGACAUAUUAGUUUUGCAUGACAAACAGUGUGAAAUUUUGUUGGAUAUUUACUGAAAAAGUUUCACUGGCAGCAGAUUCGGCAUGUAGGUCAGUUUAUGAGCCUUAAUCCGCAUUAUUCAUUAGAAAGAACUUACUCAACCCAAACACUGUGCUGUAUUAUGCAUGAGACACUAACACUUCUGUCAUCUGCUAACCCUCACUGUUGUUGUUUAGAGACAUGGAUCCUCAUGAAUGUGUUUCCUUAGUUGCUCAACACAAAAGUAUUGGCUAUUGGUUAUUUAUAAAGCACAUAUAAAAACAACCAUACGGUUGACCAAAGAGACAAUGCAUUAGAAACAAUACAUAAAAAGAUCACUUUUUUAAAAUAAAAUACACACAACUAAAUUAAUUUGUUGUUAAACACCAUGGAUAAAAAUAAGAUUUAAGCUUUGAACAUGGAAAGAGGAUGUGUACUGUUUGAAUUGACACACAACCAGGGCUUUUUUUACCACUUUGGGGGUAGGGAAGGAUUCCCCCCCCCACUGUUCAUUAUACACAAAUAUAUUUAGUUACAUUAAAACAUACACAUUUAUUUUUAAGACAAAAUACAAGUGUAAUGUGUUAUGCUAAAUCAAUUUGUUAUUCACUCUAGUUUACCUAACUACCUAUCUUUAAACUAAAGUAAUUGGUUUACUUUUGCGAUUCAAACUAUCGAAUGUGACGUCAUUUUAACGACUUCCACGAAGACGGCGCGCAGGUGACGGUGUUUCCGGUAAGUAAACUAAAUAAGUUUUUUCUUCAAUCUAUCUUAAAACAUUGUUGAGGCAACUUUAUUUUAUGUUGAAGUCGAUGAUGUUUGUGUUUGAUGGUGAUGAUUUCCAAUGCUGCUUACCAUAUAAAAAAAACAUGCAACGCUGAGGUGAACUACUGCCCUUACCAUCCACAAAUGGAGACAUCCAAAACACUGGAAGUAGUCAGUGUAAUACUUCUGUCUGAAAUUAAAAAGAACAAUGAGAAAACAUUAUGAAUGCUGAUGGACAAGACCUUUUCUAUCAGGAGACAUGAGGUUGUCAAGGAAUCUCCUUCAAUAGCAGAUUUCAAAACUAGAUGGCCUGCUCUUUUCAGAAGGGAAGAGAUUUGUGCAGAGUUUAAAAGAACCGCAACAGCCCCAUUGGUGUCUACAUACUUGGCGAAGAUGGAUCAAUAUUCUGCUAAGCUUAUAAGGAUCUAUGCAAAACGAGGAGUCGUCAAUGGAAAGAGAAUUAAAAACCUGCUGAUUUCCACAAAACAGACUGACAACAUUGAUCAGACUCUGAUCUUUCUUUGUCUACGUGAAUGAAGACCCGACCAGUCUAAUUAAAGAGUAUUUGGAUACAGAUGCACCCAGUACCCAGGAGGCGAUCCAGAAGAUGGUGAUGGGAGUGCUUGUUGUAUAAAUGUAUGGUUCAGACAUCGAAGACAGCCCAGCAGAUGUUGGAGUGUUAUUGAAGAGAUUAAGAGUUCUUGGACCUCAACAACAUUGUGUAUGCGACAACCAUGCUGAUGGGACUGAUAUAUGCACUGAACUUGAGCUACUUUCCUGAAUUCAGGUACACUUUUGAAGUAUUGCAGUUGUUGUUUCUGGAGCUAGAUGGGAAGUAACUAUCUCAUAAAGUUCAAACGCUGAAGACCAAGCCUUUUGCAGAUGUUUUGAGCAAGGAAUGUUUUAAUAUUUCAUAUGUAAAUGCCAUGUUUUUGAAAUGGCAGUACAACAACAUUCGGGAAGUAAGCAGUGUCAUCAAUUAAUUUUGAUAGUUUUGCAGUGUGUUUUUAUUUAAUUAGAUUAAUGUAGAGUUGUUUAAAGCUUUGGCUGUAUGUAAAUGGUGGUGCAUCUAAUUUGUCAUGGAACGUUAACGUUUAUAAUGUUGUUACAGUAACAUUUUACUUAAAAUAUACCAAAGUUGUUGAAAAAUCUUUGAAAGUCGCAUGUGCCAGCUCUCUGAAUGGAGUGCAUCCUAUUUUGUCAGUUAGCAUUACAGUUGUGUAAUACUGUUGUUUAAUUAUACUUCUCCGGGGGCUUGAAAACUGCCUGAAUGGUGCUUCGUGCAUUUCAUUUGUCAGUAACUGUAAAGAAUUGUAAUGUUGUUAUAAGGUUACAUUGUAAUAUCCAAAGUCCUUGAAAAACUUUGCAAGCUUUUCAAGUUGAUGAGUGCAUCUCAUUUGUCGCUAUAUCCUUUACGGUAUCUGUAGUUUAAGUGCAAUAAACAUGGCUUGAAGAACUGGUGUCUGAGAUUCUUUUAUGAAUAAAAUGAAUGCUAUAUAGAGUUUAUUACAAAAAGUAUAUUUUUGUGUGUGAUGUACUUGAAAUAGAAAUUGUUGUGUUAAAGUAACUAAAAGUAAUUGGA